rnacentral:rRNA from 1 species
CCUACGGGUGGCUGCAGUGGGGAAUAUUGCACAAUGGGCGCAAGCCUGAUGCAGCCAUGCCGCGUGUGUGAAGAAGGCCUUCGGGUUGUAAAGCACUUUCAGCGGGGAGGAAGGCGUUAAGGUUAAUAACCUUGUCGAUUGACGUUACCCGCAGAAGAAGCACCGGCUAACUCCGUGCCAGCAGCCGCGGUAAUACGGAGGGUGCAAGCGUUAAUCGGAAUUACUGGGCGUAAAGCGCACGCAGGCGGUCUGUCAAGUCGGAUGUGAAAUCCCCGGGCUCAACCUGGGAACUGCAUUCGAAACUGGCAGGCUAGAGUCUUGUAGAGGGGGGGAGAAUUCCAGGUGUAGCGGUGAAAUGCGUAGAGAUCUGGAGGAAUACCGGUGGCGAAGGCGGCCCCCUGGACAAAGACUGACGCUCAGGUGCGAAAGCGUGGGGAGCAAACAGGAUUAGAUACCCGAGUAGUC